AAAGUCAAAUAGCGUUUUAAGGCAACCUUAAUAUUACAAUUACUUAAGAUAAUUGUAAUAUUAAGGUUGCCUUAAAACCCUAUUUGACUUUAGGCCAUAU